GCGCCUGUAGUUCAAUGGACAGAACGCAUGGUUGCGGUCCAUGUGGUUGGGGGUUCGAUUCCCUCCAGGCGCG
rnacentral:tRNA from 2 species